AGGGGGGGAACACGGAUGAUAAGACAAGCAUCAUGCACUAGCACAUCAUGGGAGUUUGUGUUACUAUCAGCCACUGAGUGCAAUAUUACCUAUUAACAAUGUCAAACUAGAGCACUUUAUGAAGCAUGAUACUAAAAAUAUUUAUCAUUAUGAAAAUACAUCUAACAAGAAUAGAUAAAUGACUACGACACUAAGAAUGAGAAUAUAUAUCACCCUUUGCUAUUUGAGUGGGGGGAUGGAGGUUUGGUUUUGGUUGGAGUCCGCCCAUGCGGGUGGAUAUAGGGUAGAAAAGUAGAGAUCAGAACGUCCUAAUAGAGAGAGAGAGAGAGAGACCAAUGAUGUUAAUAUAUAAUUCUAACAUAAACUUCCAUAGAUCCUUCAUAUUAGUUAUAUCAUCCGACUUCUCUAGGCAUAGUCAUCAAAGUAUACAAUUGAAAGAGAGAAUUUUGUGUCUGCAACACUAUUUUCUUUAAUAUUGGUGAAUUUUUUUUAUUAAACUUGAAAUAUCAAUGCAUGCAACUGCAAGGUGCUCGCUUGGACGGUACCAUCCUUUUUUGCUUAUACAAGAGAAUGGAGAUUAGAUUCUGAUUAGAAUCAACCUUCAAGGGUGGGGUGGCUAUAGGAUAGAAAAGGACAUGUCUUGAGUCGUCGUGCACGGUUGAUCCAAUACAUGGCUACGAUGCAUUGAUUAUAAAGCAUCCUCGAGCGGUAUCUCAACUCCACACUUCUCCUUAUUCAAGGUUCUUACUAUAAUAAUAUUCAAGGAGACUAAUAAUAUUCAGGGGACUAGGAGAGUCCACCAUUAUGCCACUGCCUCCUUUGCGGCUUUGCCGUGAGAAAUUAUUAGGUAGAUGGUUUUACUAGUUAGGAUUAUAGGCUACCUAAUGAUAUCUCACCCCACCAUCUAUUCGGAUAACAAACUCCAUUCCAUCCUCAACCCAUCUCUAGUUAACCAUUGUUAGAUUUUUACAUGCAUGGCACAUGUGACUAAUAAAAAGUAAUAUAUUUUGGCUGAAAAAAGGAACAAAAAGGAGAAAUCGAAGGAACCCUAAACCCAAUUGUUGCCUCUCCCCAGUCCACCACCGGACCUCAACUCCAUCUUGUAGGCCUUCUCCCUCCUCAAA
rnacentral:lncRNA from 1 species